GGUACCUACAGGAAAGAAUUAAAUAAAAAUUAAUAAUAUUUUGGACUGCACAAACGGUUGUCCUCGCCAACUAAUGCUUCGAACAUAGGCCCAAAUAACGGUGUACCAACUAUUUCCUUCUUCACAUAGGUAAUAGGUUGAAACUUGCUUUGGUCCAUACUCUUCACACCGCCCAUUUUGUUACUACAUCGAGCAAACGUUCAUCUCUCCUAAGUCUGUAACGCCUCCUUGCAUGCAAUAAAGGCUCGAUGUUAGAAGGUUACAAACACCGCCAUCUGUAACCGUCGGCCAACAGCUCUCCAAAUAUUACUCUAAGCAUUUAUAUAAGAGGACUUCUAGUGUCGUCCUAGGUACCUCUGCCGUUUCAACAACCUACAUUCUCGUAGGACGCCGUUCUUCUAACCACCUCCGCUCAAAUAACUUAAGAGAGAAACUUAUGUUUGUCUUAAUAUGAAUUAUAGUGCUUGUGUUUUGUAAUUUACCUGCUUCAAUGGAAACCUUCCGGUUGUAGUGUGA